CCUAUGUAUGGGUUCAUUAAAUUUUUAUUAUAUUAUGUCCAAACGUUUAUCUACUAUAUCGAGAAGAAAUCCAGAAUUUCUUUUUUAAAACCAACUCUCAAUCUACAUGAAUCAAUGUACAGGAAAAUGGAGAAUCUCCAAAUUAUCUUUACUGAUACAUUUUCUUGUUUUGUUCGAAAAAAUUCAGAGAAACGAAAACGGAUUUCUUACGGAGAUUUAUAAUUUUUCAUCUAUAUCAUCCGGGUACCUUCAUCUCUUUAACAAUGGAAAAUCGCCUUAGACUUUUAAUUUUAGCCGUGUAUUGAAAUUUGACAAGUUAGAAGGUGCAUUUCAGCAAAGUCUGUCUUUUUCUUAGUUUUUUUAUGAUUCCGUACGUUACUACUGAUGUCAACACUAUGGAAGGCAGCCAAAUUAUGGAUAUCAAUAUUUUUGUUUCAAAAAUAAAAUCAGUAUAUUAAUAUGAUAUUUAUCUUAAAAACAGAAAGAAAUAAAGUGUGAAGUCAAUUUAUAAUGAUAUUGAUAAUGUGUAAACAACCAUUCCUCGCUCUCCCUCUCCCCCUCUCUCUCUCUCUCUGCUAACGAUUUUAAAACUGGAUAUAUUUAAAAGAUUUUUAAACUAGGAAUAUAACAGCAACAUUAUAUUGGAAACCAAAUAAAUUUCUGUUUAAAGCUACCAUUGUGUCGUAUUGACUUCAGUUUAGAGGCCGGUAAUAUUUUGAAGCAUAUGUUACAUCCUAAAACACGAGCUAUUUGAUGCUAUUUUCAGAUGGGAAUUAUGUUAACAGUGAAAACAUGCGUACUUUACAUGCUCGUGAAGUAAAAAUGUGUAUUAUAGAAUUGACAGAGAGAACAGGAACUCGAUUAAUAAAAACCAUGACAUCAUCUUUAAUUACACAACUUAAACGAUAUAAUACUGUAGUUUAAUCGGGGUUCGAGUUGUCAAAAUCGGAUUGUUAUCAAGUUCAAUGUUAUGAGUAAAAUUUGUUCUAAACACCGAAAGUAUUAAUAAAACAGGAGAAAAGCCGCCAAUGUGACAGCAAACUGGGUUUUCUUUUGUGAGAACAGUAUCUAUCAUCCUUUUUUCAACCCUGAGUUAAUGAACAGUACCUAUCAGCUAAAUAUCCCAAAAUAUAUCGAAAGAAAAUCAAAAUAUUGUCUAAAUAUGUUUUUAGAACAUCAUGAAUAAAUCGUUAUACACAAACUAUCUAGAAGUUUGGUCUGCGCUGAAAAUUAGAGAGCUAAAUUAACAGUACUCUAUAACUAGUGAGUUAUGAAAAUCGUUCAUUUCCUUCUUCACAAAAUAUGCUCCCUUAUUAAACUCCGUCAAUUUGUAAUCAAUUUAAAACAAUACACCGAUCCAUUUUAUUUGUGGGUCUGUCGGGUUUGACCAAUCAGAUCACGUCAUCUGAUGCGGCGUAUAAGGUCGGACAUUGGUCGGACAUCGCUACAUAAAGAUGGCGAUUGUUUACGUAUUGAAACUGUAAAACUGGGUGUUAUUUUUCGAUUGAGUUCAAUAUAAUGGUGAAGCACUGUUCGCAUGGGACAUGUAAAUCGGAUAGCAGAUUCAUCCCAUUUCCGAAGCCAAAGUCUGAUUUGGAGAAAUGUUUACAAUGGAUAUCAUGCUGUCAAAUACCACAUGUCCAGCUUAACGUUGACAAAAUUACGAAGCAUACAUAUGUGUGUUCUAAGGUAAGUACAAGUACAUUUUAUUUUCAGAUUAUAGAAUAACCUGUCAUCCAUUAAUCCGAUAUCCUUUGAACAUGUUGAACACUGACUAUACCCAGUAACGUUACAUGUAUGUACAGCUUGAAAAUGGCGUCGUUUUUGUUCCGACUUCAAAAAUACCGAAAUGCCCAUAAACAAUUAAGAUUAUUUUGGUGGCAUAGAUCUGCCACCACUUGUCAGAUAAUUAUGUUGACUUGUUAUAUGAUAAUGUCGACUUGUCAGAUAUUUAUGUCAACUUGUCAGAUCUUUAUGAUGACUUGUCAGAAAAUAACAAUACUGAGUAGAACCUCAAAAUUUUGUUGCCAAAGCGUGUUAGUGCCACAAACUGCCAUUUACUUGUCAUCAUAAUAUCUGACAAGUCGACAUCAAGAUCUGACAAGUCGACAUAAUUAUCUGACAAGUGGUGGCAGAUCUAUGCCACCAUAGAUUAUAACACUUUUAUACUUGUUUAUAUGUCGGAAUGCUUGUAAAACAAAUGCAGUAAAAUUUUAAAGCUUUCAAGAUAUACCUUUAGCUUUGUGCUGUGACAGAGACAGAGCGCAUUACAUAUCAUAGAAUAUACUGAUUGUAUUACUAUUUUUUUUACACUGUUUCAGCAUUUCAUUUCAUUGGAUGGUCCUUCAGAUGAAUACUCUUAUCCUUGUGAUGCCCAGACUGGUGAACUGCACAGAGCAAGGCGAAAGAUCAUAUACUUGUCUAAACAGUCAAAAUCAGAUGAUUUAAACAGCAAGACCAGGCAUGAGAGCGCUUACAAAAAAGUGUGACGGACGGAAACACGGCCUGAGGGACGCCCGGCAUUUCUAUGUCCCCGCUCCGCGUGGCGGCGGGGGACAAAAUAAUUUUGUCAGUAGUACCAGUACUGAUGAUUCACCAUAUUCUCAAGCAAUGGAAUGCUGUUUAACAACACAACCAACUUCAAAUCCUGUCAUAGAUUCCUCAUGCCAACCAGAAAAAGAAUUAUUUUCAUCUAUGGAUGUGCUUUCAUGGGUUGCACAAGUUAGAAAACUGGAGGAAGAAAAUGACAGGUUGCGACAGGAAAUCAAACAGAGAGGGAAAGUUUCUGAUGCUGCUUGCCAAACAGAGAGAGAUACAAUUUUCACUGCUGAAGAAGUUUCAAAGUCAAAGAUCAUAAACUUGUUUGAUUUUACACUGGAUUAAGCUAUAGUAGAUUUCUCAUGCUUCUUGUGUUUCUUUUUCCAAGUUAUGAAAGUCCAAACAUUUAUGAAGACAAAAGAAAAACAACACAUAUUGACAAGUUUCCUUUGUCAACGCAGUUGUUUAUGUACCUGUGCAGACUUAGAAAUGCUUUAAAUGUGAACGAUUUAGCAUUCAGAUUCAAUAUUAAGGUUCAAACUGUGUGAAUAGAAAUUAAUGGGGUAGCGAAGUACAUGCAUUUGAGAUUAGGUUCCUGCAGUUAUUGGCCCCAUCGAAAUCAAUCACAAAAAUCAUGCCGGAAUCUUACAAAUAUGAUUUUCCAAACUGUUUAGCUACUCUUGACUGUACCGAGCUAAAAACUGAAAAACCUUCAUCACUGAAACAGCGAAGUCAGUGUUAUUCAGACUAAUAAUGAUGCCUUAAUGGCUGACAAAGGGUUUCUAAUUGAAAAAGAGUUGGCACUUUUAGAAUUGCAGUUGAAUAUUCCAUCCCUUGCAUCUAGUGCUAGGCCAUUUAGUGAAAGCGAUGUAAACCUCACCAGAAAAAUAGCUACUCAUAGAAUACACAUUGAACGUGCCAUCAAUCAAAUAAAGUGUUUUAAAUUAUUGAAAAGAAAAAUUCCUGUGAGCAUGUUUAAUUGUAUUAAUGCUCAUUGGUUUAUAGCUGCG